AUGUCGUCUUCCUUAGGUGUAUUGGCUUGGAAUGUAAGGGUGUUGAAUAACCCUGCCUGGAGGAGUUCGAUUAGUAUGUUCAUGCAAUCCCUCGAUGUUUCCCUAGUUUGCUUUCAAGAGUCCAAGUUGGCACUCAUGAAUGAAACUAUGGUUCGAGAGACUUUGGGACCGAGCUUUGAUGGUUUUGAUUUCUUGCCUGCUGAGGGCACCAGAGGGGGUAUUUUCUUGGCCUGGAAGUCUGUCAGGUUGCAGGUGUUGAAUGUCCAGAAAGAUGAAUUCAUGAUCUCGGCACAAAUUUUGUCAUUGGUAGAUGGCAAGGAGUCAUUGGUGUCUUCUGUUUACGGGACCACAAGAGGAUGA
rnacentral:rRNA from 1 species